UACCCAGACUCCUACGGAGGCAGCAGUGGGGAAUAUUGCACAAUGGGGGAAACCCUGAUGCAGCGACGCCGCGUGAGUGAAGAAGUAUUUCGGUAUGUAAAGCUCUAUCAGCAGGGAAGAAGAAGGACGGUACCUGCAAAGGAAGCACCGGCUAACUCCGUGCCAGCAGCCGCGGUAAUACGGAGGAUGCGAGCGUUAUCCGGAUUUAUUGGGUUUAAAGGGUGCGUAGGCGGAUCGUUAAGUCAGUGGUCAAAUGGGGGGGCUCAACCCCUCCCCGCCAUUGAAACUGGCGCUCUUGAGUGGAAGAGAAGUAUGCGGAAUGCGUGGUGUAGCGGUGAAAUGCAUAGAUAUCACGCAGAACCCCGAUUGCGAAGGCAGCAUACCGGCUCCACACUGACGCUGAGGCACGAAAGCGUGGGUAUCGAACAGGAUUAGAUACCCUUGUAA
rnacentral:rRNA from 1 species